GGGGAAUUGUUCGCAAUGGGCGCAAGCCUGACGACGCAACGCCGCGUGGAGGAUGAAGAUCUUCGGGUCGUAAACUCCUUUCGAUCGAGACGAAUGGCCUCUGGGUGAACAAUCCAGGGGAAUGACGGUACCGAGAGCAGACGCCCCGGCUAGCUCCGUGCCAGCAGCCGCGGUACUACGGGGGGGGCAAGCGUUGUUCGGAAUUACUGGGCGUAAAGGGCUCGUAGGUGGCCAACUAAGUCAGACGUGAAAUCCCUCGGCUUAACCGGGGAACUGCGUCUGAUACUGGAUGGCUUGAGUUUGGGAGAGGGAUGCGGAAUUCCAGGUGUAGCGGUGAAAUGCGUAGAUAUCUGGAGGAACACCGGUGGCGAAGGCGGCAUCCUGGACCAAUACUGACGCUGAGGAGCGAAAGCCAGGGGAGCAAAC
rnacentral:rRNA from 1 species